ACCAAUAAGCAUCCAGCAGCUUUAUUUUGGCAGCCUCACUGCGCAUGGCUACAGUCGCACAGGAAAACGUAACGGCGAUAAUUAGAAAAGAACCUUGCUUUGGGAUCAGGAAUUAAACAUCAAACUCGGGAAGCGGCGCAUAGUAAACAAUCCUGACAGGAGCCAAUGGGAGAGCGAGAUCAUCGCUCUGACUUCCGGAGUGGGCUGAAAACUUAGCAGCGAGGCCACGCCCACCGUUGACUUUGCUUGGAGGGGAGCCUGAAAGAGGAGGUCACACAGAUGAAAAGCAACAUGAGUGGUCCACCCUAGGUCCCGACUUGAAACAGCUACCGCCUCCUCCAUGGAAACUGAUCGAUGGCCACCUGAUAACCUCUCUACCCAGGAGAGGGGGGCAAAGCAGAAAGAGAGGCGGCAGAUCAACUGGUUUAAAAAGUGGUCUAUUUAAAGCAGGCCUAUUCAACUGGCGGCCCGCGGGCCACAACCGGCCCACCGAACAUCACCCAACCAUUGAUGAUCCAUCCAUCCAUUUCCUACCGCUUGUCCCUUUUGGGGUCGCGGGGGGUGCUGGAGCCUAUCUCAGCUGCAUUCGGGCGGAAGGCGGGUUACACCCUGAACAAGUCGCCACCUACCAUUGAUGAUGAAACCACUAAAACUAAAGUUGCUCAUGUAUGCAGUACUCCAGCCACCCUGCAGGGGCCAACAGCGAGGCUUAUGUGUCACAAUGAAUCAACAGUGGGGUGAGUAGUAGAAGACUACUCGAUCAAUCCUGAAAAAAAAAAUCGAAAUAGAUUGAAAAAAAUCAAACUUUUAUCAACGACUGGACAAUAAAGUAUGAAUGUUCUGCCCUGACCAAUUCUUGAGUCAUUGUUUUCUCGCGGACCUUUCAAGCGACGGACACAUUGAUCCAGACAAGCAGCAACAAUGGUAGAAAUCCCAGCGUGUAACCUGUUUUACGAAACUUGGUCAAACAUUUGUAAGUAGAUAUUGUGCAUAAAAAUAUUUUGUUUGUUUUGUAUUGAAAUUGCUGACAUUGUGAUGUCUUCUGUAUUCGUGGUCGCGUUGGUAUUUGUCUGUGAGUAACUAUGCCGAUCAAAAUUCAUUCAAUAGUUUCAAGUUUCAAGUUUAUUCACAAUACCAUAGAACAUUUACAAUAGUAGUGAAUAUCAUUUAAAGAUGUUGGUAAGUGAAAGGGUCCCCCAAAUAAGCUAGAAGAAGCUUUUGACAGGGGGUCCAGAGGACAGUAUGUACAUGGAAUGAUGAAAAAUGGUAGCAAGCACAACAACAGCAAAAAAAACAACAACACUAUAUGAUAAACACAAGAUAAUAGUACUAAAGCAUGCAUACACAUACAUACAUACAUUCAUUCGACCAUGCAAAACCCAACAGUAGUCAACCCCACAUGAGGCAUUAGAGAUAGGUGGUUAAUAGGUAAGUUUUCAGUUUCUUUUUGAAGUUGGAGAAUGGAUACCGCAUCUGAGGCUCUCAUUAAGCCGGUUCCAAAUCUUUGGUCCCCUGCAUACAACACUUCGAGCGGUGCAAGCCAGUAGACGAUGUUUACCUGAUAUCAGAUCUAAGUUACGAGGGUUGUGGGCAUGCUGGGGAUGGUAGAUAGGAACCAGGCUACAGAGCCUAAGAUUCAGUCUGUGAAUGACUUGAUAGGUUAAACAAGCAUUUUGAUAAAUAUUGAACUCUGUCAGUCUUAAGAGAUGAUAAUUAUGGAAUAGAUGUCGAGUGGGGGCAUUAAACUUGGACCAUGACAGGGCCCGUAUGAUUUUCUUUUGCAUGGAUUCUAAUUUGUGACGGUAGCUAGGGAAGGUGUUACACCAGAUGACAUUACAGUAGUUUAGAUGUGGUUCAAAGAGAGUUUUAUAUAGGGUAAGUAGAGCAUACAGAGGAAGAUAAUGACGAAGGUGAAAGAACAGGCCAACAUAUUUGGAUAAUUUGUUUAACAGAUGGCUAAUGUGACAUUUGAAAUUGAGGUAUUCGUCAAUGAUGACCCCCAGGAAUUUUGUGGAAUACACUCUGUAUUUCCUGCCCAUUGAUGUUGAUAUGGCAGUGCUCAGUAUUUGUCCGUACAUACUGUACAUGUAGCGUUAAAUUUGACCAGUAGAGGGCGACAACGCUACAUCUUAGGUUUAACUGCGAUAAGUCAUGUACAGUGUGUGCAAUGUUUGGUGUGUGAAGGUUGUGUAAUUUCUUAAUGCGUAAACAUUUGUUGUUUAUCGUUUGAAAACAGUCACACUAAAACUUCUAUUUUAUUUAUGUAAAAUACACAAUGGCCAUUAUUUAUGUUAAAAUACACAAUUGUUGUUAUGUUUAUUUUAUGGUUACACACUGUUGUUAUGUUUAUUUUAUGGUUAUAUUUUCAGUCUUACAAACCUAAAUGAAGGAAGAAGUGUGAAGAAAUAAAACUGAGGAAGGAAAAGACUGCAAAAGAAGGAACAUCAAUCCUCAACAAAACUUCUCGAGCUUCUGUUUCUUAAUGCUUUUAAUUAGCUGCACACGCUGGAAACGAGUAGCGAGGGCAGAAUAAUGAAUUUAUUGAUAGUGCAGUGUGAAAGCGGAUGUGUUUAAUUUGCAAUUAAGUAAACACAGUUUCAAAGGAAUAUAACCUGCAGAAGCACUUUCUGACGAAACAUCCACAUUCCGAUUU